GUAGGGAAUAUUGGACAAUGGGCGAAAGCCUGAUCCAGCAAUGCCGCGUGAGUGAUGAAGGCCUUAGGGUUGUAAAGCUCUUUUACCAGGGAUGAUAAUGACAGUACCUGGAGAAUAAGCUCCGGCUAACUCCGUGCCAGCAGCCGCGGUAAUACGGAGGGAGCUAGCGUUGUUCGGAAUUACUGGGCGUAAAGCGCGCGUAGGCGGCGAUUUAAGUCAGAGGUGAAAGCCCGGGGCUCAACCCCGGAAUAGCCUUUGAGACUGGAUUGCUAGAAUCCUGGAGAGGUGAGUGGAAUUCCGAGUGUAGAGGUGAAAUUCGUAGAUAUUCGGAAGAACACCAGUGGCGAAGGCGGCUCACUGGACAGGUAUUGACGCUGAGGUGCGAAAGCGUGGGGAGCAAACAGGAUUAGAUACCCGGGUAGUCC
rnacentral:rRNA from 1 species